GACGGGGGGGGGCAAGUGGUUCUUCGGAAUCACUAGGCGUAAAGCGCAGGUAGGCGGUUCGGUAAGUCUUUUGUGAAAGCUCCUGGCUCAACUGGGAGAGGUCAAGGGAAACUACCGGACUAGAGUGUGGUAGGGGAUACUGGAAUUCCUGGUGUAGCGGUGAAAUGCGUAGAUAUCAGGAGGAAUACCUAUGGCGAAAGCAGGUAUCUGGGCCAUCACUGACGCUGAGCUGCGAAAGCUAGGGGAGCAAACAGG
rnacentral:rRNA from 1 species